rnacentral:rRNA from 1 species
UACCCUUGUCUUUUGCGCACUUGUUGUUUCCUGGGCGGGUUCGCUCGCCACCAGGACCACAAUAUAAACCUUUUUUAUGCAGUUGCAAUCAGCGUCAGUAUAACAAAUGUAAAUCAUUUACAACUUUCAACAACGGAUCUCUUGGUUCUGGCAUCGAUGAAGAACGCAGCGAAAUGCGAUACGUAGUGUGAAUUGCAGAAUUCAGUGAAUCAUCGAAUCUUUGAACGCACAUUGCGCCCUUUGGUAUUCCAAAGGGCAUGCCUGUUCGAGCGUCAUUUGUACCCUCAAGCUUUGCUUGGUGUUGGGCGUUUUUGUCUUUGGCCCGCCAAAGACUCGCCUUAAAAUGAUUGGCAGCCGGCCUACUGGUUUCGCAGCGCAGCACAUUUUUGCGCUUGCAAUCAGCAAAAGAGGACGGCAAUCCAUCAAGACUCCUUCUCACGUUUGACCUCGGAUCAGGUAGGGAUACCCGCUGAACUUAAGCAUAUCAAAAGCCGGGAGGAAA